GCCAUGUUCACAUUCUUUGUCCUGCUUUGCCGUCUUCUGCUAUGAUUAUGAGGCCUCCCCAGCCAUGUGGAACUCCUCAUCACUCACUACAGAUGUUACUUUAAGACAUUCUGGAGCAGCAUCAUGUGCAGAUUCUUGCUCAUCCCAGGCUGAAGUGCAACGGCGUGAUCUCGGCUCACUGCCACCUCCACCUCCAGGCUUCAAACGAUUCUUCCUGCCACAGCCUCCUGAGUAGCUCAGACUACAGGUGCAUGGCACCAAGCCCAGCUAAUUUUUGUAUUUUUAGUAGAGACCAGGUUUCAUCAUGUUGGCCAGGCGGUUCUCAAACACCUGACCUCAGGUGAUUUGUGUCUCGGGCUCCCAAAGUGCUGGGAUUACAGGUGUGAGUCACUGUACCCUGCCAACUGUCUUAUAGUUGAUGGGAUUAUGACUGGAUUCUUGUUAUGAAUUUGGCCAAUAAAUUAUUAUUACCUUAAAUUUUAAACUAGUCA
rnacentral:lncRNA from 13 species